UCCUACGGGGGGCUGCAGUAGGGAAUAUUGGACAAUGGGCGCAAGCCUGAUCCAGCAAUGCCGCGUGAGUGAUGAAGGCCUUAGGGUUGUAAAGCUCUUUUACCCGGGAUGAUAAUGACAGUACCGGGAGAAUAAGCUCCGGCUAACUCCGUGCCAGCAGCCGCGGUAAUACGGCGGGAGCUAGCGUUGUUCGGAAUUACUGGGCGUAAAGCGCACGUAGGCGGCUAUUCAAGUCAGAGGUGAAAGCCCGGGGCUCAACCCCGGAACUGCCUUUGAAACUAGAUAGCUUGAAUCCAGGAGAGGUGAGUGGAAUGCCGAGUGUAGAGGUGAAAUUCGUAGAUAUUCGGAAGAACACCAGUGGCGAAGGCGGCUCACUGGACUGGUAUUGACGCUGAGGUGCGAAAGCGUGGGGAGCAAACAGGAUUAGAUACCCCUGUAGUCGUU
rnacentral:rRNA from 1 species